rnacentral:rRNA from 1 species
GAUGAACGCUGGCGGCGUGCUUAACACAUGCAAGUCGAACGAGAAGUUAAGACGGAAACCUUCGGGCGGAAGGCUUUAUUUCGAGUGGCGGACGGGUGAGUAACGCGUGGGUAGCCUGCCUCAGACAGGGGGAUAACAGUUGGAAACGACUGUUAAUACCGCAUAAGACCACAGCACCGCAUGGUGCGGGGGUAAAAACUCCGGUGGUAUGAGAUGGACCCGCGUUCGAUUAGCCAGUUGGCGGGGUAACGGCCCACCAAAGCGACGAUCGAUAGCCGAUCUGAGAGGAUGACCGGCCACAUUGGGACUGAGACACGGACCAAACUCCUACGGGAGGCAGCAGUGGGGAAUAUUGAACAAUGGGGGAAACACUGAUGCAGCGACGCCGCGUGAGUGAAGAAGUAUUUCGGUAUGUAAAGCUCUAUCAGCAGGGAAGAAAAUGACGGUACCUGAGUAAGAAGCCCCGGCUAACUACGUG